GUCUACGGCCAUGCUACCCUGAACAAGCCCGAUCUCGUCUGAUCUCAAAAGCUAAGCAGAGUCAGGCCUGGUUGGAUGGAAGACCACCUAGGAAGACCAGGUACUAUAGGCG
rnacentral:rRNA from 1 species